rnacentral:rRNA from 1 species
UACGUAGGUGGCAAGCGUUGUCCGGAAUUAUUGGGCGUAAAGCGCGCGCAGGCGGUCCUUUAAGUCUGAUGUGAAAGCCCACGGCUCAACCGUGGAGGGUCAUUGGAAACUGGGGGACUUGAGUGCAGGAGAGAAGAGUGGAAUUCCAGGUGUAGCGGUGAAAUGCGUAGAUAUCUGGAGGAACACCGGUGGCGAAGGCGGCAUCCUGGACCAACACUGACACUGAGGAGCGAAAGCCAGGGGAGCAAACGGG